CGGGAAGUGGCUCAGCCUGGUAGAGCACCUGCUUCGGGAGCAGGGGGUCGCUGGUUCGAAUCCAGUCUUCCCGACCA
rnacentral:tRNA from 1 species